rnacentral:rRNA from 1 species
GGGUUGUGAGGUUAAGCGACUAAGCGUACACGGUGGAUGCCCUGGCAGUCAGAGGCGAUGAAGGACGUGCUAAUCUGCGAUAAGCGUCGGUAAGGUGAUAUGAACCGUUAUAACCGGCGAUUUCCGAAUGGGGAAACCCAGUGUGUUUCGACACACUAUCAUUAACUGAAUCCAUAGGUUAAUGAGGCGAACCGGGGGAACUGAAACAUCUAAGUACCCCGAGGAAAAGAAAUCAACCGAGAUUCCCCCAGUAGCGGCGAGCGAACGGGGAGCAGCCCAGAGCCUGAAUCAGUGUGUGUGUUAGUGGAAGCGUCUGGAAAGGCGCGCGAUACAGGGUGACAGCCCCGUACACAAAAAUGCACAUGCUGUGAGCUCGAUGAGUAGGGCGGGACACGUGGUAUCCUGUCUGAAUAUGGGGGGACCAUCCUCCAAGGCUAAAUACUCCUGACUGACCGAUAGUGAACCAGUACCGUGAGGGAAAGGCGAAAAGAACCCCGGCGAGGGGAGUGAAAAAGAACCUGAAACCGUGUACGUACAAGCAGUGGGAGCCUCUUUUAUGGGGUGACUGCGUACCUUUUGUAUAAUGGGUCAGCGACUUAUAUUCUGUAGCAAGGUUAACCGAAUAGGGGAGCCGAAGGGAAACCGAGUCUUAACUGGGCGUUAAGUUGCAGGGUAUAGACCCGAAACCCGGUGAUCUAGCCAUGGGCAGGUUGAAGGUUGGGUAACACUAACUGGAGGACCGAACCGACUAAUGUUGAAAAAUUAGCGGAUGACUUGUGGCUGGGGGUGAAAGGCCAAUCAAACCGGGAGAUAGCUGGUUCUCCCCGAAAGCUAUUUAGGUAGCGCCUCGUGAAUUCAUCUCCGGGGGUAGAGCACUGUUUCGGCAAGGGGGUCAUCCCGACUUACCAACCCGAUGCAAACUGCGAAUACCGGAGAAUGUUAUCACGGGAGACACACGGCGGGUGCUAACGUCCGUCGUGAAGAGGGAAACAACCCAGACCGCCAGCUAAGGUCCCAAAGUCAUGGUUAAGUGGGAAACGAUGUGGGAAGGCCCAGACAGCCAGGAUGUUGGCUUAGAAGCAGCCAUCAUUUAAAGAAAGCGUAAUAGCUCACUGGUCGAGUCGGCCUGCGCGGAAGAUGUAACGGGGCUAAACCAUGCACCGAAGCUGCGGCAGCGACACUAUGUGUUGUUGGGUAGGGGAGCGUUCUGUAAGCCUGUGAAGGUGUGCUGUGAGGCAUGCUGGAGGUAUCAGAAGUGCGAAUGCUGACAUAAGUAACGAUAAAGCGGGUGAAAAGCCCGCUCGCCGGAAGACCAAGGGUUCCUGUCCAACGUUAAUCGGGGCAGGGUGAGUCGACCCCUAAGGCGAGGCCGAAAGGCGUAGUCGAUGGGAAACAGGUUAAUAUUCCUGUACUUGGUGUUACUGCGAAGGGGGGACGGAGAAGGCUAUGUUGGCCGGGCGACGGUUGUCCCGGUUUAAGCGUGUAGGCUGGUUUUCCAGGCAAAUCCGGAAAAUCAAGGCUGAGGCGUGAUGACGAGGCACUACGGUGCUGAAGCAACAAAUGCCCUGCUUCCAGGAAAAGCCUCUAAGCAUCAGGUAACAUCAAAUCGUACCCCAAACCGACACAGGUGGUCAGGUAGAGAAUACCAAGGCGCUUGAGAGAACUCGGGUGAAGGAACUAGGCAAAAUGGUGCCGUAACUUCGGGAGAAGGCACGCUGAUAUGUAGGUGAAGCGACUUGCUCGUGGAGCUGAAAUCAGUCGAAGAUACCAGCUGGCUGCAACUGUUUAUUAAAAACACAGCACUGUGCAAACACGAAAGUGGACGUAUACGGUGUGACGCCUGCCCGGUGCCGGAAGGUUAAUUGAUGGGGUCAGCGCAAGCGAAGCUCUUGAUCGAAGCCCCGGUAAACGGCGGCCGUAACUAUAACGGUCCUAAGGUAGCGAAAUUCCUUGUCGGGUAAGUUCCGACCUGCACGAAUGGCGUAAUGAUGGCCAGGCUGUCUCCACCCGAGACUCAGUGAAAUUGAACUCGCUGUGAAGAUGCAGUGUACCCGCGGCAAGACGGAAAGACCCCGUGAACCUUUACUAUAGCUUGACACUGAACAUUGAGCCUUGAUGUGUAGGAUAGGUGGGAGGCUUUGAAGUGUGGACGCCAGUCUGCAUGGAGCCGACCUUGAAAUACCACCCUUUAAUGUUUGAUGUUCUAACGUAGACCCCUAAUCGGGGUUGCGGACAGUGUCUGGUGGGUAGUUUGACUGGGGCGGUCUCCUCCUAAAGAGUAACGGAGGAGCACGAAGGUUGGCUAAUCCUGGUCGGACAUCAGGAGGUUAGUGCAAUGGCAUAAGCCAGCUUGACUGCGAGCGUGACGGCGCGAGCAGGUGCGAAAGCAGGUCAUAGUGAUCCGGUGGUUCUGAAUGGAAGGGCCAUCGCUCAACGGAUAAAAGGUACUCCGGGGAUAACAGGCUGAUACCGCCCAAGAGUUCAUAUCGACGGCGGUGUUUGGCACCUCGAUGUCGGCUCAUCACAUCCUGGGGCUGAAGUAGGUCCCAAGGGUAUGGCUGUUCGCCAUUUAAAGUGGUACGCGAGCUGGGUUUAGAACGUCGUGAGACAGUUCGGUCCCUAUCUGCCGUGGGCGCUGGAGAACUGAGGGGGGCUGCUCCUAGUACGAGAGGACCGGAGUGGACGCAUCACUGGUGUUCGGGUUGUCAUGCCAAUGGCACUGCCCGGUAGCUAAAUGCGGAAGAGAUAAGUGCUGAAAGCAUCUAAGCACGAAACUUGCCCCGAGAUGAGUUCUCCCUGACUCCCUGAGAGUCCUGAAGGAACGUUGAAGACGACGACGUUGAUAGGCCGGGUGUGUAAGCGCAGCGAUGCGUUGAGCUAACCGGUACUAAUGAACCGUGAGGCUUAACCUUACAACGCCGAAG